GGGUUGUGAGGUUAAGCGACUAAGCGUACACGGUGGAUGCCCUGGCAGUCAGAGGCGAUGAAGGGCGUGCUAAUCUGCGAUAAGCGCCGGUAAGGUGAUAUGAACCGUUAUAACCGGCGAUACCCGAAUGGGGAAACCCAGUGUGAUUCGUCACACUAUCAUUAACUGAAUCCAUAGGUUAAUGAGGCGAACCGGGGGAACUGAAACAUCUAAGUACCCCGAGGAAAAGAAAUCAACCGAGAUUCCCCCAGUAGCGGCGAGCGAACGGGGAGGAGCCCAGAGCCUGAAUCAGCAUGUGUGUUAGUGGAAGCGUCUGGAAAGGUGCGCGAUACAGGGUGACAGCCCCGUACACAAAAGCGCAUGUGCUGUGAGCUCGAUGAGUAGGGCGGGACACGUGGUAUCCUGUCUGAAUAUGGGGGGACCAUCCUCCAAGGCUAAAUACUCCUGACUGACCGAUAGUGAACCAGUACCGUGAGGGAAAGGCGAAAAGAACCCCGGCGAGGGGAGUGAAAAAGAACCUGAAACCGUGUACGUACAAGCAGUGGGAGCACAGGUUUACCUGUGUGACUGCGUACCUUUUGUAUAAUGGGUCAGCGACUUAUAUUCUGUAGCAAGGUUAACCGUAUAGGGGAGCCGUAGGGAAACCGAGUCUUAACCGGGCGUUAAGUUGCAGGGUAUAGACCCGAAACCCGGUGAUCUAGCCAUGGGCAGGUUGAAGGUUGGGUAACACUAACUGGAGGACCGAACCGACUAAUGUUGAAAAAUUAGCGGAUGACCUGUGGCUGGGGGUGAAAGGCCAAUCAAACCGGGAGAUAGCUGGUUCUCCCCGAAAGCUAUUUAGGUAGCGCCUCGUGAAUUCAUCUCCGGGGGUAGAGCACUGUUUCGGCUAGGGGGCCAUCCCGGCUUACCAACCCGAUGCAAACUGCGAAUACCGGAGAAUGUUAUCACGGGAGACACACGGCGGGUGCUAACGUCCGUCGUGAAGAGGGAAACAACCCAGACCGCCAGCUAAGGUCCCAAAGUCAUGGUUAAGUGGGAAACGAUGUGGGAAGGCCCAGACAGCCAGGAUGUUGGCUUAGAAGCAGCCAUCAUUUAAAGAAAGCGUAAUAGCUCACUGGUCGAGUCGGCCUGCGCGGAAGAUGUAACGGGGCUAAACCAUGCACCGAAGCUGCGGCAGCGAACGUAUCACCCAAGACAACUUUACGGAGUUGACGAUUGACGGAGCGAAGCGACGUCAAAGCGUUCAUUAAAGUCGAGUUGGCUUAGGGAUACGUUCGUUGGGUAGGGGAGCGUUCUGUAAGCCUGUGAAGGUGUGUCGUGAGGCAUGCUGGAGGUAUCAGAAGUGCGAAUGCUGACAUAAGUAACGAUAAAGCGGGUGAAAAGCCCGCUCGCCGGAAGACCAAGGGUUCCUGUCCAACGUUAAUCGGGGCAGGGUGAGUCGACCCCUAAGGCGAGGCCGAAAGGCGUAGUCGAUGGGAAACGGGUUAAUAUUCCCGUACUUGGUGUUACUGCGAAGGGGGGACGGAGAAGGCUAUGUUGGCCGGGCGACGGUUGUCCCGGUUUAAGCGUGUAGGUGUGUGUUCCAGGUAAAUCCGGUUCACUUUAACACUGAGGCGUGACGACGAGGCACUACGGUGCUGAAGCAACAAAUGCCCUGCUUCCAGGAAAAGCCUCUAAGCAUCAGGUAACACGAAAUCGUACCCCAAACCGACACAGGUGGUCAGGUAGAGAAUACCAAGGCGCUUGAGAGAACUCGGGUGAAGGAACUAGGCAAAAUGGUGCCGUAACUUCGGGAGAAGGCACGCUGACACGUAGGUGAAGUGAUUUACUCAUGGAGCUGAAGUCAGUCGAAGAUACCAGCUGGCUGCAACUGUUUAUUAAAAACACAGCACUGUGCAAACACGAAAGUGGACGUAUACGGUGUGACGCCUGCCCGGUGCCGGAA
rnacentral:rRNA from 2 species